rnacentral:tRNA from 16 species
UGCGGGGUGGAGCAGUCUGGUAGCUCGUCGGGCUCAUAACCCGAAGGUCAUAGGUUCAAAUCCUGUCCCCGCUACCA